rnacentral:rRNA from 1 species
AUUGAACGCUGGCGGCAUGCCUUACACAUGCAAGUCGAACGGCAGCACGGGAGCAAUCCUGGUGGCGAGUGGCGAACGGGUGAGUAAAGUAUCGGAACGUGCCCAGUCGUGGGGGAUAACGUAGCGAAAGUUACGCUAAUACCGCAUACGAUCUAUGGAUGAAAGCGGGGGAUCGCAAGACCUCGCGCGAUUGGAGCGGCCGAUAUCAGAUUAGGUAGGUGGUGGGGUAAAGGCUCACCAAGCCGACGAUCUGUAGCUGGUCUUAGAGGACGACCAGCCAAACGGGGACUGAGACACGGCCCAGACUCCUACGGGAGGCAGCAGUGGAGAAUUUUGGACAAUGGGCGAAAGCCUGAUCCAGCCAUGCCGCGUGCAGGAUGAAGGCCUUCGGGUUGUAAACUGCUUUUGUACGGAACGAAAAGGUUUGGCCUAAUAAGCUGAGCUCAUGACGGUACCGUAAGAAUAAGCACCGGCUAACUACGUGCCAGCCGCCGCGGUAA